UUCCAAGCAUAAAAAUUUCUCCUUUUCUAAUCCUUAACAAAUUUGGGAUAUUUGCACUUUAGUUCCAUGCUCCCUUUUAUUUUCUACCUUCAUCUCCUCUUCUCUCUCACUUCAGCUGGCAACUACCCACUACCAUAUACCCCAACAUAUUUUAUUAUCCUCAACUAUGGUGCAUAAUCGUCUUCGCCGAGUACGGUAUCAGAAGAUGGAUGUAAAAAUGGGUGAUCGAUGACCGCUCCAAAUUCGUUGCUUCUAAUUCUGAUAGUGCUUUAAUGGCGUCUAUAACCUCCAGGCAAGAUCACUCUGUUUCUCAAGUUCCUUAUAUGAAUGCUAGAGUUUUUCAUGAUGAAUUCACUUAUAGCUUUCAAGUAUCACCUGGCCCUAAAUUCUUUCGUUUAUAUUUCUACUCAACUCAAUACUUUGGCUUUGAUGGAAUUGCUUCUUUCCUAUCUGUUACCGCCAAUCAUCACCUUCUCCUCAGCAAUUUCAGUGCCUCUUUAACUCUUUCUGGUGAAUAUGAUCAACAAGCCUCGUUGUUCAAAGAGUUUAUGAUUCCAUGUUUGGAAACCGAGGAGCUGAAUGUCAUCUUUUCGCCAUCGUUUAACUCUUCGGCCUUUGUGAACGACAUCGAAGUUGUUUCCAUGUUUCAAAGCCAAGUCACCACUGUAGUAAAGGGAAGUGUCAGGUACGUCUAUCCUGAAUAUUACAGAAGACAACAAUUGAUCGAGAAAUAUGAUGUUUACUCUAUCGGUGUGGUUCUAUUCGAAGUAUUAUGCGCUCGACCGUCCAUGAUUCCAGGGCUACCAAAAGACCAAGUCAACCUGGCUCGAGGGGGCAAAAUUUUCCAAGCUACAGGAAACCUUGAAAACAUCAUGGACCCCUGCUUGAUGGGUGAUAUUUCACCUGUGCCUACAAAAAUUUGGGGCGCUCUCCCGAGAGUUGUGUUCGAGACGUGGGAAUAGAGCGACCUACUUUGAACGAUGUGGUUUGGUGUAUAGAAUUUGCAUUGCAAGUGCAAGAGGCAACUGAGAGGGACACAAACAUUGACAUGUGAGGCGAUGAAGUGAUUGCGUCAUCGAGCCAAACCAGCCCUUUGAUGUGCAAAAGAGCUAGCAGAGUUACGACCACGAAUAACGAUAACAAAGAGUUGUUCUGUGUUUUUGGUGGGAAAGUGUCAGAAUCAAGGAGCACAAUUAGCAGUGUGGGAAGGAGUAUUAGUCGAGGAACAAAAUCAUAUUCAAUAAUUGUUUGAUGGAUGAGGAGAAGCUAUUUGAGGAUGCGAUUUUAUUGACUGGUGGAAACAAGAAUACUCUAGGUUGUAUUUGAGAAGCUUAUAACAUGGAGGCCAGCAAACGGCGAUUCAAAGAAGGGAUUGUUGUGAGUGAGUUGGUUCGAUUUUCAAAAAUAUUUUAGCCAAAGGUUCGAUUAUUUGAGGGGUAGCUGCCGAAGUGAUUACGGAUGAUAUGCGAUGUAGUUUUGGUCUGAGGUUGUAUAUCAGUAUCGCUCCCAGUCUGCAUUGUGUGUGUCCUAUUUGUUUCUGGGUGAGUGCAAAAUUUCAAUUCGUCCAGCAUGCAGCUCGGGCAAAUAUGUGAUGAUGGAAGAGAUAUUGUUUCUUUCUACAUUGGCUUUGCUUUGCAGGUCAUUGGUGUUAUGAUCCCAGUUCUAAAUAUUUAAUCCUUUAAAGUCUAUUUGCAAAGUCUUAUUCUGCUGCAGCUUUUAUGUGUUGAAUAGUUUGAUUCUGCAGUAGGCUUAGGGCUCGAAUAUUGUGUUGGUGUAAAGAUGGUUUGCAAGUAUGGUUGUUGGGUUAUAGGGUAUUAAUUGGUCUGGUGUAUGAACGUGGUACUAG